CCUACGGGGGGCAGCAGUCGAGAAUCAUUCACAAUGGGGGAAACCCUGAUGGAGCGACGCCGCGUGGGGGAAUGAAGGUCUUCGGAUUGUAAACCCCUGUCAUGUGGGAGCAAAUUAAAAAGAUAGUACCACAAGAGGAAGAGACGGCUAACUCUGUGCCAGCAGCCGCGGUAAUACAGAGGGCUCAAGCGUUGUUCGGAAUAACUGGGCGUAAAGCGUGCGUAGGCGGUUUCGUAAGUCGUGUGUGAAAGGCGCGGGCUCAACCCGCGGACUGCACAUGAUGCUGCGAGACUAGAGUAAUGGAGGGGGAACCGGAAUUCGCGGUGUAGCAGUGAAAUGCGUAGAUAUCGAGAGGAACACUCGUGGCGAAGGCGGGUUCCUGGACAUUAACUGACGCUGAGGCACGAAGGCCAGGGGAGCGAAAAGGAUUAGAUACCCGUGUAGUC
rnacentral:rRNA from 1 species